rnacentral:rRNA from 1 species
GAUGAACGCUGGCGGCGUGCCUAAUACAUGCAAGUAGAACGCUGAAGCUUGGUGCUUGCACCGAGCGGAGGAGUUGCGAACGGGUGAGUAACGCGUAGGGAACCUGCCUCUUAGCGGGGGAUAACUACUGGAAACGAUAGCUAAUACCGCAUAAAAGUCGACAUUGCAUGAUUUUGACUUGAAAGGUGCAAUUGCAGCACUAAGAGAUGGACCUGCGUUGUAUUAGCUAGUUGGUGAGGUAACGGCUCACCAAGGCGACGAUACAUAGCCGACGUGAGAGGGUGAUCGGCCACACUGGGACUGAGACACGGCCCAGACUCCUACGGGAGGCAGCAGUAGGGAAUCUUCGGCAAUGGACGGAAGUCUGACCGAGCAACGCCGCGUGAGUGAAGAAGGUUUUCGGAUCGUAAAGCUCUGUUGUAAGAGAAGAACGAGUGUGAGAGUGGAAAGUUCACACUGUGACGGUAACUUACCAGAAAGGGACGGCUAACUACGUGCCAGCCGCCGCCGUAA